rnacentral:rRNA from 1 species
UAGGGAAUCUUCGGCAAUGGACGGAAGUCUGACCGAGCAACGCCGCGUGAGUGAAGAAGGUUUUCGGAUCGUAAAGCUCUGUUGUUAGAGAAGAACGUUGGUAGGAGUGGAAAAUCUACCAAGUGACGGUAACUAACCAGAAAGGGACGGCUAACUACGUGCCCGCAGCCGCGGUAAUACGUAGGUACCGGGCGUUGUCCGGAUUUAUUGGGCGUAAAGCGAGCGCAGGCGGUUCUUUAAGUCUGAAGUUAAAGGCAGUGGCUUAACCAUUGUACGCUUUGGAGACUGGAGGGAUUGAGUGCAGAAGGGGAGAGUGGAGUUGCAAGUGUAGCGAUGAAAUGCGUAGAUAUAUGGAGGAACACCGGUGGCGAAAGCGGCUCUCUGGUCUGUAACUGACGCUGAGGCUCGAAAGCGUGGGGAGCAAACAGG